GCCCAAGACCACACCAAGGAAAAUCCAGGU
rnacentral:piRNA from 1 species